UACAGAGGUGGCAAGCGUUGUUCGGAAUUACUGGGCGUAAAGGGCGCGUAGGCGGCCUUCUAAGUCAGACGUGAAAUCCCCCGGCUUAACCUGGGAACUGCGUCUGAUACUGGAAGGCUUGAAUGCGGGAGAGGGAUGUAGAAUUCCAGGUGUAGCGGUGAAAUGCGUAGAUAUUAGGAAGAACACCGGUGGCGAAGGCGGCCCACUGGAUCGGUACUGACGCUGAGGUGCGAAAGCGUGGGGAGCAAACAGG
rnacentral:rRNA from 1 species